UUCGGUAGUGAUAAUUAAAAGGGAAUCGGGUGUAAAUCCCGGACAGUCCCGCUGCUGUGAAGCUUUAUUUUCAACGUUUUGAUAAUUAAUACCCCUUUAACCACUGGCCUUAGCCGGGAAGGUUUAUCAAAACGGAAGCUAAGUCAGAAGACCUGCCAUCUGUUU
rnacentral:ncRNA from 1 species